CGACCUCGACCUGCUCGGGGGAAAUGAAGUGAAUGUGCGUGUCAAUGGCGCCGGCGGUAACGAUGAGCCCCUCGCCGCCAAUGACCUCGGUGCUCACGCCGACCACGAUGUCGACGUCGUCUUGGAUAUCCGGGUUGCCGGCAUUACCGAUCUUGAGGAUCUUGCCGUCCUUGACCGCGAUGUCGGCCUUGUAGAUGCCCGUGUAAUCGAUAAUCGUCGGGUUGGUGAUCACCAGAUCCGGGAUCUCCGCAUCCCCGGUGACCCGCGAGUUCUGGCCCAUUCCGUCACGGAUG
rnacentral:sRNA from 1 species